GUAGUACUGUGUGCAUAGUUGUCAUCUAUGUCUGGUAGCAGUGUCUGUUUGUGUUUUGCAUUCAGAUCUUGCUAUCCACACAAACUGUGCAGCCGAAGAGUAACAUGGGAUCAUAGUACUGGUCUAGUGUUACGUGUUUGAACACAUCUCCCACUGGCCAGCCUCCAAAUUCUCAGACACAA
rnacentral:snoRNA from 1 species